rnacentral:rRNA from 1 species
UGGGGAAUUUUGGACAAUGGGCGAAAGCCUGAUCCAGCAAUGCCGCGUGUGUGAAGAAGGCCUUCGGGUUGUAAAGCACUUUUGUCCGGAAAGAAAUCCUUGGCUCUAAUACAGUCGGGGGAUGACGGUACCGGAAGAAUAAGCACCGGCUAACUACGUGCCAGCAGCCGCGGUAAUACGUAGGGUGCAAGCGUUAAUCGGAAUUACUGGGCGUAAAGCGUGCGCAGGCGGUUUGCUAAGACCGAUGUGAAAUCCCCGGGCUCAACCUGGGAACUGCAUUGGUGACUGGCAGGCUAGAGUAUGGCAGAGGGGGGUAGAAUUCCACGUGUAGCAGUGAAAUGCGUAGAGAUGGUGGAAGGCAAUGACCGAAUGGGCGAAGGCCCAGGCCCCCAUGGGCCAAUACUGACGCUCAUGCACGAAAAGCGUGGGGAGCAAAACAGGAUUAGAUACCCUGGUAGUCCACGCCCUAAAACGAUGUCAACUAGUUGUUGGGGAUUCAUUUCCUUAGUAACGUAGCUAACGCGUGAAAGUUGACCGCCUGGGGAGUACGGUCGCAAAGAUUAAAAACUCAAAGGAAUUGACGGGGUCAUAGCUGUUUCCU